rnacentral:rRNA from 1 species
UUUUUGUAGUAGUUAUUACAAAUCAGGCCUGCCCAGUGAUUUAUUUAACGGCCGCGGUAACUUGACCGUGCAAAGGUAGCAUAAUCAUUUGUCUUUUAAUUGGGGACUGGAAUGAAUGGCUUGACGGGGAAGUGCUUUCUUUACGCUAUAGGUGAAUUUUAGAUUUUUGUGAGGACGCUAAUAUGUUGGUAAAAGACGAGAAGACCCUGUCAAGCUUUAUGUGGAGUUCCUUUUAUUUUUGAGGCGUUGGGGACAAAGCGUUUUAUUGGGGCGAUAGGUAUUGGUUUAACUUAUUUUUAGUGUGUACUAUUAGGACUUUUAUUGAUCCACUUAUUUGUGAGCAAAGGAGUAAGUUACUGCAGGGAUAACAGCAUAAUUAUACUGGAGAGUUCAUAUUGAUAGUAUAGAUUGUGACCUCGAUGUUGAAUUAGGGUUCCUGCAGGCUGUAGUGGGCUUGUUAGGGGGUCUGUUCGACCUUUAAACCCCUACA